GGAAUAUGUAUUUUAAUCAAAUACGACGAAGAACACAAAUUUAAUGAACUAGACUAAAACAAGAUGAAGUUCAUUCUUUAUUUUUUGUGUGGACUAUCAUACCUGUUGGGAGAUCUGUAAUGACAUAUUGCCCAUAUCCGGUGCAGAAAAUGGUACAGCUGUCGGCAAUGGAUCUUUGCGGGACUGAAUGACAUAGGUCGAUUGAAACAAAAACCUCUGUAUCCUAGAACGAAUGCAUGUUCAAAGAAUAAAGAUGGAUGUAGUCAUAUAUGUAUUCCAAGACCAAAGGGGAAAUUCGCCUGUUUCUGUCCAACCGGAUUUGCCGGAUCUUAAAGACAAUACGUAUUGUACUAAAGCACAUCCACCUGACUACUGUCAACCAUUAAAUCUUCAAAACUUUAUACAAUUUCGCUGAAUGAUUGUAUGACACACCCCUCACCGGUUGGGAAGGUUUGUACAGUCGAGUGCAUGGAUGGCUUUGUAUAUGACGGGUGCAAAACUGUACUUGUAUGUUAGGAGAAUGGGCAAUGGAGCGAUCCUAUUCAUAGCUGUAUUGAUGUGAGUCGCCAAUUCAUCCAUAACUGUCAGCAUGAUUGGCAAGUUUUUACUGCUGGCAAGGGCAAGGACACAGUCACAAUUGAAUGGCCGGAAGUGUAUGUAACUGACAAUAGCGGCAUUUUUUGCACCAGACAUCUACUCAUCUUUGAAAAGCAGUAUCACACUACAUGGGGCUGAAUAUACUGUAAACAUAUUUGCUGUUGAUCACGUUGGUCAUUUUACGGGCUGUGAAUUCACCUUUAUUAUAAAAGUUUGAUGUCUACUAAAAAGGGGCCAAGCUGUACAAUAACAAUUAUAUCCAAGACCAAGUUUGACGAAGAAUCAUCAAAUGGUUAAUGAGACACGGUCAAUAAAAUAUUUCUAAUUUUAGCUCUAGAGAUCAAGACAAAGUUGGAAGAGGACAUUGCAAUGAUGAAACAGACCAAGUUUGAUUAAGAACCAGCCAGCAUUUCAUCAGAAGAAGUCAUUCAUUUUAAAGAUUUUUCUAUUCUUAAUCUAGCAGCUACUGAAGCAGACUGCCCAUUUGAAUAAAUUUGUCAGAGGACCUUACUAGAGCUACUUCCAUUUUUUGCUAUAAUUCCCCCUUUUCAUGUCAAGUUGUUUAAUAGUAUUUCUAUUUUUAGUACUUCUUAACAAGGCUAAGCACCCCUAUUUGAAAUUUGUAAGAAGAUUUUAUACUGAUGCUAUACACCAAGUGAAAUGAAAUGAAUGAUGCCAAUGAUGUGGAAGAACAAUUUUAAGUUUAAAUAAAAUCCGUUAUGAAAUAACAAAAAUAUAGAGAAAGUGCAUAAAAAUUAACCCUAAAUUUUAAGUUAAAAGGGGGCAUAAUUCAUAUAAGAGGACCUUGAUUAUCCUUUAAGAAGUUCAUUAAAAUAAAAGUUAUAUUACAUUUUGCUGUUACCAUUAGAACAAACUUCAAGCUAAGAAGUAAUUUUUUAUCUUUAACUCUGGUGUCUCCUAAAUGGGACAAAGCUGAACCAUUUGAACAACACUGGGAAAGGACCUUACAAUGACCCUACAGACCAAGUUGAUAAAGAUUCAUCAAGCAGUUCAUGUCAUGUUUAAGAGGCCCCUUUAAGGAUCAAAUUGCCCCCAUUUAAACUAGAGCUAUCACUAAAGGUGAUGAAUGUACCCCCUGCAUGCACUGACACAGUACAUUGCAAUUUGAUGCACACAAGAUUACAUAAUAAUUAUGUGGACUGUAUGUAUAUAGACUGUAUGUAUACAGUACAGUUACAAAAAACAAAGUCUCAUAACUAUGCAGAAUAUUUAUCUAAAAGAAUAUAACAUGCACCAUGCACAACUAGGGUUGGUACUGAUCACUUGUGUGAAGUGUCAUUAAAUUGUGUGUAAGGGUUUGGUAG